rnacentral:misc_RNA from 1 species
AAGUCGUAACAAGGUUUCCGUAGGUGAACCUGCGGAAGGAUCAUUAACACUAACUUUCUAUAUUAUCAACCUAGGUGCAUCCGUCUGAACCUUUAUCUUUCAGGGGUCGACUAGACAAUGGUUGGAUUCGGUCUAGUCUGCUGUCAAGUUAGCCCGUCUUCUGUUCUUUUCGAAGGAAACUUCGGAACCAGAAGGCGAUCGGUCUGACGCUCUGUUAGUGGAGGUAUCUAGUCUCAACCAUGGCUGGGCCCAUUUUUUUUUUCAACCUUUGAACUUUGUACUGAUUUGGGCUUCCGAUCGAGAGGAGCAAUCCUUUCUCAGCAGCUUUUGAUGGACGAAUAAUCCAUUAAUUAACCAAAACACAACUCUUAACAGUGGAUAUCUCGGUUCUC